UACGGAGGGUGCGAGCGUUGUCCGGAAUCAUUGGGCGUAAAGGGCGCGUAGGUGGCCCGGUCAGUCUUUGGUGAAAGCGCGGGGCUCAACCCUGCGUCGGCCAGGGAUACUGCCGCGGCUCGAGCACUGUAGAGGCAGGCGGAAUUCCGGGUGUAGCGGUGGAAUGCGCAGAUAUCAGGAAGAACACCCGUGGCUAAGGCGGCUCUCUAGUACGGUACUGACGCUGAGACGCGAAAGCGUGGGGAGCGAACAGG
rnacentral:rRNA from 1 species